UACAGAGGUCUCAAGCGUUUGUUCGGAUUUAUUGGGCGUAAAGGGCGCGUAGGCGGCGGGGUAAGUCGGGUGUGAAAUCUCAGGGCUCAACCCUGAAACUGCACUUGAUACUGCUCUGCUUGAGGACUGGAGAGGAGACUGGAAUUCACGGUGUAGCAGUGAAAUGCGUAGAUAUCGUGAGGAAGACCAGUGGCGAAGGCGGGUCUCUGGACAGUUCCUGACGCUGAGGCGCGAAGGCCAGGGGGAGCAAACGGG
rnacentral:rRNA from 1 species